rnacentral:tRNA from 1 species
GCCCGGGUGGCGUAAUCGGCAGCCGCACAGGACUUAAAAUCCUGAGGUCGCAAGACCGUGUGGGUUCAAAUCCCACCCCGGGCA